rnacentral:lncRNA from 1 species
GCCUCCUUCUCAUCCUUCAUGCUGACUAGACAAAAACAGGACCAGGAGAGAGCCCUGGAUAGUAUACACUCCGUAUGUUGGGCAUAACUGCAGAGCAGAUGCGGCCUAUGAGUUAAGUAAGAGUAGUACAGCAUGUACAGCUUGUUCUCAGAAACAAACAGCUCUUCUCAGAAGGUCACAUUUCCAUCCUGAGGAAGGCAAUUGGCAUUGAAUGAAGCAUACCCAGUCAAAACUGGCACACAGAACAGUGAGCUCACCAUAGCCACAUUAUCCUUAAGGACACAAUUUGUCUAUCUCUUUCAGUUUUGAAAUGACUCAAUUUUGAUGACAAAAAGAUGUGUAUGAAC